CGGAAAUAGAGCAGCAGGUCGGUAGUUCCUGCACCCCAAGCGGGGUUCUUCCCAGCCACGG
rnacentral:ncRNA from 1 species